CGGAACUACAUCAAACUAAAAAGCAUUUGCACAGCAAAGGAAACUGUCAACAAAACAAAAAGCUCUAUUUGAAAUCACCUCUGAUGUCUUUGGCAUUCUGACGGCUAUAAUUAACAUCUGUUUUGUAAAACAUAUCUAACACAGAUCUGUCUAAGGUUUGUCUUUUAUAUGCUCUAACUUAUGUAUAAAUGUGUUCAAACAAGAUUUAAAAUACAACAGUUUACAUGAAAAAAAAUUAUUUGAAAUAUUAUUUACAUGAAAAAAAAUUACAUAAAAAGUGUUAUUCAUGACAAUGAAAGAUGUCUAGAAAUUGGUUGAUUAUAUUAUUGUUGAUUACAUUAUAGACAUGCACUGGAAUACAAUGCAGCUAUUAAAGAUUAUUUUAUGAGAUGAUUCAAUUUUACUCAUUUUUUGUAGUGGGGAAGAUUUUUUUAUAAAGCUUUUAAAAACUAGUCAUUUUUGCAACAGUUCAUUUAUUCAUGAGAUCUUUUGAUUUGUGAUGUAUAAAAUAAUUUAAAAUUUUAAAAAAAUUAUGAAAGAAUACUAAUUAUGUAGGGAAAUGUUCAUAACAAAGAGCAGAUUACAAAGCAAUUUUUUUUACUACAUGUAUGGGGGCAAAUGGCUGAAGUAUAUUAAUAUGUAUUAUUAGCUACCCUCAGACUGGUAAGAGUUUGAGUGAUAUUAACGCUUUUCUCUAUGCAGUUUUCUGCAUUCUCCAAAUUCCUAAAAUAAAGAAAUAGAAAAUUAUUGCCCACUUUCUAUGUGCCAAGAACUGUGCUGAAUGCUUCACAUGUGUUCACUUGUUUCAUCCUCACAGCAACCCUUAUUGGUUUUUACAGGUGAAGAAACAAACACAGCAAGGUCAAGUAAUGUAUCCUUGGUUAUGCAGUCAGAUGUGAAUUGGAGCAGAAAUCACAAUCACCUUUAAACCAGGAAAAAAAACAAAAAUAUUUUUUUUAAAAGGAAGCGAUGCCUACUGUGGUCCUUCCUUUACAAGGUAAAGCAGCCCCAGGCUAAGAUAAAGUUCUUGAGAAGAGAAGAAAAGAGCAUAUGAGCAAAACUUGGUGACAGAUGGAAAAGCAAAACACAUAAAACAGCUUCAGUGUUGCAAAACUGGAAGCUAAAGAUGAUGGAGAUGCUAUUGAAAAUAAUGGGAAAACAGACUAAAGUGAAACAUAACAUAUUAAAUUUACUUUGAACAUUUAACCAUAAGCCUGAAAAUCAUCCACCUCUCCAUAUUUUAUGGAAUAUCUGCCACCCCUUAAAAAAGAAAAACCUCCAGGAGGAAAAAGUAGAACUCCAAAGAAAAAUAAAAGACUGAUAAUUUUGGUUAAAAGUUCAAUUAAGGCAAAAGCUAUUUUCAAGAAAAGAUAUUAGGUGAUAUUGAAUUAAAUUCUAAUAGAGUUUCCAUUAAAGAUCAUGAGUAAAUCAGACCCAUGUUCAAAUCAAAUACUUCCAGUAUUUUUCUCUAGGAAUUUGCAAAGGGCAAGUUACUAUUCAUUUUAACUGUUAAUAGAUUUGAAAUAAAAGUAGGCUUCUUAUGUCCGUACCUAUGAAAAUAUGCCUUACGAUUUUUAUUUAAUACUGCAUAUUUCAUAGUUGUGGGAAUUUUUAAUGUAUUUUAUCAUUAAAUCUGUAAUGAGUUCUGUAAUAAAUGUUGGUCCU